UAGGGUUAUUGGAGGAUGUCGACGGCGAGGGCGACGGACGAAGUGCCUGAAUCUCCGGCGAAGAAGGCAAAGAUGACGUCAGAGGAGAUGACGACGAUGACGGUGACGGCAAAGGAGGAGGGACGUGUCUACGGCGACGAGCAAGAUCUCUCCGACGACGAGUUCUACAACGAUGGUCUCCAUACGAUGACCGCGGAAGAGACGGAACGCUACAGCGAAGCUGUCAUGCGCAGCGAUGGAUUUGAGGUUCCUGAGUUCCCUAAUGUUUUUGCUUUCGGUCUCAUCACACCCAUUAUGAAUACUAUGACCGCGAACUUCAGGGGGAAAAUUCUUAAUUAUGCCCGCUUCGCCGUCGAUCGCCAAAACGAAGAGAGUGUGAAAGAGGGUGCCAGGGAACUCCGUCUCGAUAUCACGGGAAUCGUCAACUGUAAUGCAGAGGUCUCUUGCCCUGUCAACUAUUACAUCACUUUCGAGGCGAAAGAUCUCGACACGAACGAGCUCGAUCAGUAUGAAGCCAAGGUGGUCACCAGUGUCCCUGAUGACGACGAAGAUGACGACGAGGUUCCAAUCUUCAGGAAAAAGCCCAAACCAACUAAUCCACCAGUGCCCACAGAGGUGGGUUCUAGGUGGCGAAAGGAUGCUUCCCCUGACGCUUGAGUCGAGAUUGCCUCCCGUUGACGAUCAGAACAAGAUUGCUGGAGCUUCUGACGUAGGUUAGCCGACUGAAAUCGAGGAGAUAAAGCAUUAUACAGACCUGAAACAAGAAUUUUGGAAUUUCUGCUACAGGAGCUGAUCACAGUCUUCAAGUUUUCAAUCCCACCACAGGUUGACUUGUAAAAGGAAGCACUGAAGCCAUCAGGACCUGGACUUUUAUUGUCAGACAAAGAAAACACAGCAUUUCUUAUCUCUUCUUUGGAAACAGGAGCAGCUAAAGCACUUGCUUGAACAUCAUUCAGACAGUAUCCAUUCUUGAUGAUAUUCAUAUCAGGUUUUGCAGAAGCAAAUGCAGUGCCCAUGAGGUUCCUGAAAAAAGAUGUUAGCUCACUGGCAAUACUCUCACCAUCAGUAAUCCUAUCACCAGAGCUAUUAUAAAGAACCAUAAUUCUAUUAUGAUGUCUGUUUGAUUUGAUAACUGAGUGAAAAUAGCUUGUGGACCUAUCCCCCUGCAGGCUCCAUGCAAUUUUAGCUUUUUGUUGGAAAAAAGACAGUUCACAAGCCAAGAGUCUAUUAUAAGAGGAUAUACUACAUUUUUCUUGGCUGAUAAGGACUGAGUUUAAAGGCUCAUCUUGUAUCUUUUUUUGAAUUUCCUCCA